rnacentral:rRNA from 1 species
GGAUUAGAAACCCCGGUAGUCCGAGCCGUAAACGAUGUUGACUAGGCGUGCCAGGCUUCAACUCUUGGCGUGCCGGAGCAAACGCGAUAAGUCAACCGCCUGGGGACUACGGCCGCAAGGUUAAAACUCAAAGGAAUUGACGGGGACCCGCACAAGCAGCGGAGCGUGUGGUUUAAUUCGAGGCUACGCGAAGAACCUUACCAGGGAUUGACAUGUAUGUAGUAGUGAAGCGAAAGCGGAACGAGCCUUCGGGCAGCAUACACAGGUGAUGCAUGGCUGUCGUCAGCUCGUGCCGUGAGGUGUUUGGUUAAGUCCACUAACGAGCGCAACCCUUAGAACCAGUUACAAGUGUCUGGUUCGACUGCCGGUAUCAAGCCGGAGGAAGGUGGGGAUGACGUCAAGUCAGCAUGUCCUUUAUAUCCUGGGCUACACACACGCUACAAUGGCCGGUACAGAAGGUUGCGAAGCCGCGAGGCGGAGCCAAUCCUGCAAAGCCGGUCUCAGUUCGGAUUGGAGGCUGCAACUCGCCUCCAUGAAGUCGGAGUUGCUAGUAAACGCAGGACAGCCAUACUGCGUUGAAUACGUUCCCGGGUCUUGUACACACCGCCCGUCACGUCAUGGGAGC